rnacentral:rRNA from 1 species
AUUGAACGCUGGCGGCAGGCCUAACACAUGCAAGUCGAGCGGGGUUUUCGGACCUAGCGGCGGACGGGUGAGUAAUGCGUAGGAAGCUACCCGAUAGAGGGGGAUACCAGUUGGAAACGACUGUUAAUACCGCAUAAUGUCUACGGACCAAAGUGUGGGACCUUCGGGCCACAUGCUAUCGGAUGCGCCUACGUGGGAUUAGCUAGUUGGUGGGGUAAUGGCUCACCAAGGCGACGAUCCCUAGCUGGUUUGAGAGGAUGAUCAGCCACACUGGAACUGAGACACGGACCAGGCUCCUACGGGAGGCAGCAAUGGGGAAGAUUGGACAAUGGGCGCAAGCCUGAGCCAGCCAUGCCGCGUGUGGGAAGAAGGCCUUCGGGUUGUAAAGCACUUUCAGCGAGGAGGAAGGGAGUUGUGUUAAUAGCACAGCUUUUUGACGUUACUCGCAGAAGAAGCACCGGCUAACUCUGUGCCAGCCGCCGCAGUAACAC